GAUGAAGAACGCAGCGAAAUGCGAUAAGUAAUGCGAAUUGCAGAAUUUCCGUGAGUUAUCGAAUCUUUGAACGCACAUUGCGCCCACUGGUAUUCCGGUGGGCAUGCCUGUUCGAGCGUCAUUAUCCUCCCUCAAACCCCGGGUUUGGUGUUGGACCCAAGUUGUGUGAACAACUGGUCUCAAAGACAAUGACGGCGUCCGUGGGACCCUCGGUGCAACGAGCUUUUAGGAGCACGCAUCGAGUUGCAAGGACCUUCCGGGCCGGUCUCCUUUACCAUUUUACAAGGUUGACCUCGGAUCAGGUAGGAAUACCCGCUGAACUUAAGCAUAUCAAUAAGCGGAGGA
rnacentral:misc_RNA from 1 species